UGCUUUACACAUGCAAGUCGAACGGCAGCACGGACUUUCGGUUUGGUGGCGAGUGGCGAACGGGUGAGUAAUAUAUCGGAACGUAUCCAAUAAUGGGGGAUAACUAAUCGAAAGGUUGGCUAAUACCGCAAACGCCCUACGGGGGAAAGCUAGGGAUCUUCGGACCUGGCGUUAAUGGAGCGGCUGAUAUCUGAUUAGCUAGUAGGUGAGGUAAAGGCUCACCUAGGCACGAUCAGUAGCUGGUCUGAGAGGACGACCAGCCACACUGGAACUGAGACACGGUCCAGACUCCUACGGGAGGCAGCAGUGGGGAAUUUUGGACAAUGGGCGAAAGCCUGAUCCAGCCAUUCCGCGUGAGUGAAGAAGGCCUUCGGGUUGUAAAGCUCUUUCGCAAGGGAAGAAAACUUAUCCUCUAACAUAGGGUGAGGUUGACGGUACCUUGAUAAGAAGCACCGGCUAACUACGUGCCAGCAGCCGCGGUAAACGUAGGGUGCGAGCGUUAAUCGGAAUUACUGGGCGUAAAGCGUGCGCAGGCGGUUUUGUAAGUCAGAUGUGAAAUCCCCGAGCUCAACUUGGGAACUGCGUUUGAAACUAUAAGACUAGAAUAUGUCAGAGGGGGGUAGAAUUCCACGUGUAGCAGUGAAAUGCGUAGAGAUGUGGAGGAAUACCAAUGGCGAAGGCAGCCCCCUGGGAUAAUAUUGACGCUCAUGCACGAAAGCGUGGGGAGCAAACAGGAUU
rnacentral:rRNA from 1 species